rnacentral:rRNA from 1 species
ACGAAGUGGUUGAUGCCAUGCUUCCAAGAAAAGCUUCUAAGCUUCAGGUAACCAGGAACCGUACCCCAAACCGACACAGGUGGUUGGGUAGAGAAUACCAAGGCGCUUGAGAGAACUCGGGUGAAGGAACUAGGCAAAAUGGCACCGUAACUUCGGGAGAAGGUGCGCCGGUGAGGGUGAAGCACUUGCUGCGUAAGCCCACGCCGGUCGAAGAUACCAGGCCGCUGCGACUGUUUAUUAAAAACACAGCACUCUGCAAACACGAAAGUGGACGUAUAGGGUGUGACGCCUGCCCGGUGCCGGAAGGUUAAUUGAUGGGGUUAGCUAACGCGAAGCUCUUGAUCGAAGCCCCGGUAAACGGCGGCCGUAACUAUAACGGUCCUAAGGUAGCGAAAUUCCUUGUCGGGUAAGUUCCGACCUGCACGAAUGGCGUAACGAUGGCGGCGCUGUCUCCACCCGAGACUCAGUGAAAUUGAAAUCGCUGUGAAGAUGCAGUGUAUCCGCGGCUAGACGGAAAGACCCCGUGAACCUUUACUAUAGCUUUGCACUGGACUUUGAAUUUGCUUGUGUAGGAUAGGUGGGAGGCUUUGAAGCGUGGACGCCAGUUCGCGUGGAGCCAUCCUUGAAAUACCACCCUGGCAACUUUGAGGUUCUAACUCAGGUCCGUUAUCCGGAUCGAGGACAGUGUAUGGUGGGUAGUUUGACUGGGGCGGUCUCCUCCUAAAGAGUAACGGAGGAGUACGAAGGUGCGCUCAGACCGGUCGGAAAUCGGUCGUAGAGUAUAAAGGCAAAAGCGCGCUUGACUGCGAGACAGACACGUCGAGCAGGUACGAAAGUAGGUCUUAGUGAUCCGGUGGUUCUGUAUGGAAGGGCCAUCGCUCAACGGAUAAAAGGUACUCCGGGGAUAACAGGCUGAUACCGCCCAAGAGUUCAUAUCGACGGCGGUGUUUGGCACCUCGAUGUCGGCUCAUCACAUCCUGGGGCUGAAGCCGGUCCCAAGGGUAUGGCUGUUCGCCAUUUAAAGUGGUACGCGAGCUGGGUUUAGAACGUCGUGAGACAGUUCGGUCCCUAUCUGCCGUGGACGUUUGAGAUUUGAGAGGGGCUGCUCCUAGUACGAGAGGACCGGAGUGGACGAACCUCUGGUGUUCCGGUUGUCACGCCAGUGGCAUUGCCGGGUAGCUAUGUUCGGAAUAGAUAACCGCUGAAAGCAUCUAAGCGGGAAACUAGCCUCAAGAUGAGAUCUCACUGGAACCUUGAGUUCCCUGAAGGGCCGUCGAAGACUACGACGUUGAUAGGUUGGGUGUGUAAGCGCUGUGAGGCGUUGAGCUAACCAAUACUAAUUGCCCGUGAGGCUUGACCAUAUAACACCCAAGCAAUU